AGUACAAGCAGCAAAGUUGCCUGACAUUGUUCCAGCCGAGGGACCUUGGUUUAAGAGGCCUACCCAAUGCAUUCUUACAUCUGACCUGUAGUGUGCCACACAAUCACAGGGGCAGGGAAUAAACUGAAGAACAAAUCACAGCCUUGAUCUUCUUGAAACUCUGAUGGGGGAAGAGCCAAGGCUGCAGAUAGUCUGGUGGAGGUGGGCAGAAGGCACAAUGGAAGCACAAAGGCAGCAGCCCUUAACUGCCUGGACGGGAGAGGGAAGACUUCUAGAAGAAGUGAUUUGGGAGCUAAGAUCCACAGUGCCGGUGAGAAAAAUAUUUAAGAGUAUGAGAAAAGUUUUAGCUAAUGGAGUGUUCAGGAUAGGCCUGUUUGUCUAGGCGACCUUACUCUGAUUCCAGCUAUCAUCCGAUUCAUCCAGUGACCCUUGAGCUAGGGUCAAGGAACCCUCUGAUUCUGAUGUGGCUCCUUACCCUCUGUUAAUUUAUUAAAUACAUGUUAUGGAAGACACUGUUCCAGGCUCUGGAUGCACAGUACUGAAUAAGACAGCAAAACUAUCAUUCCUGUGGGGGAGGCUUCAUACAAAGCAAUAUGUACAAAUAAGUGUGUAAUAUGUCUCCUAGUGAUAAGCGCUUUCAGACAGAUAAAGCAAGGGUAAAGGGGGUGCUGCUUAUAUAACCACAGGCUUUUGCUCACAUAUUAUUCCCCCAUAUGGCUAUCUGGGGAGAGAAGAAGAUGUUGGGCAAGUUCAAAGGCCCUGAGGAGAGACUACACCUGACGUGUUGAGGUCUCACGAGUAAGUUGAUGUGGCUGGAAGAGUGACGGGGUAUGUGGUUGGAGAGGCACCUGGAGCUGCCAUGGGAACUGGAAGCUUCUUCUGAGAUGAGAAGUCUUUGGAGGAUUUUGAACUGGGAGCUGUCAUCAUCAGAUGUCUAUGGCAGGCCAACAGGAAACUCCAUAUUCUGUGCAUUUUCAUGUUCACAGCGGCUUUACUUGUAUCAGCCCCAACUGACAACAACACAGAUGUCCUGCUGGGUAUGAAUGAGAAAGAAAAAGACUAUAUACUGUGGUUUCCAGUUUGUGCUCAUGACAGAGAGUCAAACAUUCUGCUGCGGAGAGACUCCCAGGAGCGACCCGCCACACCCAGCAAGUUCCCCUGGGACGGGCACAGUUGCAGUGUGGGGACGCCUCCUUGACAGUCUCCAACAUGCCAGAGAGUUCGAGAAGAUUCUUCUGCUAGCUGAGGGUGGGGUUUUUUCCUCCACAUGCAUAUCCGUGGGAAGCAUUUCCAGAGGAAAUGAACAAAUGAGGACCCCGAGGCUCUCAAAGCCAAGACAACUGCUAUUCCCACUGGUCUCAGUGACUCCCAGGAGGAAAACAUUUGGCAACGUAAGCCCACACCUCUGAUGCUGGCAAAGAACGGGUCCCUCGAGGUGAGGAAACGGAAGAAACCACAGGCCAGGCUCACAGCCACGGCGCAUCCCUGAGGGGCUGGUCCCAGAGCAAGGAGCCCUGUCCGAGCAAAAACCCUUUCUGGAAAGAGACUGUUCUAGACCAUCAAGCCCGCGGGCAUGAAGACUGCCGAGCUUAACCUUCUAUUCCCUCUACAGAAGAUGAGGUUUCAAAAUAAGGGUCAUAGAGGCAGCUCCCUGGUGGCGCAGCAGGUAAGGUGCCAGCAUUGUCACUGCUGUGGCUCAGGUUCUACCACUGGCCCAGGAACUUCUGCAUGUCGCAGGCACAGCCAAGAAAAUGAAAGAAAAAUUAUUGUUGUAUAAAGAUGGGAUCAAAGAUUACGCAGCCAAAAUAAAGGGAGUAACCGCCAACACGGUCGGCUCACGUAGAAACUGUAGCACGGCAACGAAGGUAGAAUUCUGCGGGCCUUUGUUAUUUUUCAUGUUUUCACUGAAGGUAAUGACUGCUUUUUUUUUUUUUUUUUUUUUUUUUUUUUACGGCCACAGUUGCAGCACAUGGAAGUUCCCAGGGUAAGGGUCAUAUCGGAGCUACAGCUGCAGGCCUGCGUCACAACCAGAGCAAUGCCAGAUCCAAACCGUGUCUGCACCCUACACCACAGCUCACGGUAACGGCAGACCCUUAACCCACUGAGUGAGGCCAGGGACUGAACCCAUAUCCUCAUGGAUACCAGUCAGAUUGGUUUCUGCUGGUAUAUUCUUGUCUGUGCAUAAUGAACACAACCGCCCCUCAUACCACACAAAUGCAGAAAACUGCUGUAGCAUAAGUGCUAUUUUGUCCUCUGCCUGGUGGUUUUAAUUAUACUUUUUUCUCUUUUUUCUGGCCGCACCUGCAGCAUGUGGAAGUUCCUGGGUCAGGGAUCAAACCCGUGUCACAGCAGCAAGCCAAGCCACAGCAGUGUCAACACUGGAUCUUUAACCUGCUGAACCACCAGAGAGAGGACUCCUGAAAACUCAAAAUCUUAAAGCUUGAAAUAACACUGCCGCCUGAAUAUCUUUCACUAUCACUGUAUAUAAUAGCACAACAGAUAAAAAAGUGUAUCAGGUCAAUACAUGUUGAAAAAGCGAAUAAAAGAGGAAUGCGGCCCGGGCGGGUGCUCCAAAG
rnacentral:lncRNA from 1 species